rnacentral:rRNA from 1 species
AAUGGCACUGCCCGGUAGCUAAAUGCGGAAGAGAUAAGUGCUGAAAGCAUCUAAGCACGAAACUUGCCCCGAGAUGAGUUCUCCCUGACCCUUUAAGGGUCCUGAAGGAACGUUGAAGACGACGACGUUGAUAGGCCGGGUGUGUAAGCGCAGCGAUGCGUUGAGCUAACCGGUACUAAUGAACCGUGAGGCUUAACCUUACAACGCCGAAGGUGUUU